rnacentral:misc_RNA from 1 species
CCGCCAGAAGCCGCAGCCGGUGCGCGACGCCGAGCUGCGCGGGGUGCCGGUCUACGUCCUGCGCUCCAACACCGCGACCCAGAUGGAGCACGUGCUGGUCUCGCUCUUCCCGGGGAGCCAGCCGGGCCGGGCACAGGAAGGCGAGGGGGCAACCGCUGACCGUGACCGUGAGCCAUCGAGCGACUUGCUGACCCGUGC